AGAGUGAGAAGGAAGAGAGAGAGAAGGGAGAGAGGGAGAAAGAAGAGGGGUCUCUUCACUUGUUUCUAAUUUUCUUUUCUUUUCUGAAAGGUUUUGUCCUUGCUCUCUUCCCCUUUUUUUUGAUCGAACAGGGCGAGAUUUUGGAGAAUUAAAAGGCUUCG
rnacentral:ribozyme from 13 species